UGGGGAAUAUUGGACAAUGGGGGCAACCCUGAUCCAGCCACGCCGCGUGAGUGAUGAAGGCCUUCGGGUCGUAAAGCUCUGUGGGGAGGGACGAACGUCCGGCAUGACCUGUCGGGGUGACGGUACCUCCUUAGCAAGCACCGGCUAACUUCGUGCCAGCAGCCGCGGUAAUACGAAGGGUGCAAACGUUGCUCGGAAUCAUUGGGCGUAAAGCGCACGUAGGCGGCUUCGCAAGUCGGAUGUGAAAUCCCUCGGCUCAACCAAGGACGUGCAUCCGAAACUGCAAAGCUUGAGUACAGAAGAGGAUCGCGGAAUUCCCGGUGUAGAGGUGAAAUUCGUAGAUAUCGGGAGGAACACCAGUGGCGAAGGCGGCGAUCUGGGCUGAUACUGACGCUGAGGUGCGAAAGCGUGGGGAGCAAACAG
rnacentral:rRNA from 1 species